AUUGAACGCUGGCGGCAGGCCUAACACAUGCAAGUCGAGCGGAUGAAGGGAGCUUGCUCCUGGAUUCAGCGGCGGACGGGUGAGUAAUGCCUAGGAAUCUGCCUGGUAGUGGGGGAUAACGUCCGGAAACGGGCGCUAAUACCGCAUACGUCCUGAGGGAGAAAGUGGGGGAUCUUCGGACCUCACGCUAUCAGAUGAUCCUAGGUCGGAUUAGCUAGUUGGUGGGGUAAAGGCCUACCAAGGCGACGAUCCGUAACUGGUCUGAGAGGAUGAUCAGUCACACUGGAACUGAGACACGGUCCAGACUCCUACGGGAGGCAGCAGUGGGGAAUAUUGGACAAUGGGCGAAAGCCUGAUCCAGCCAUGCCGCGUGUGUGAAGAAGGUCUUCGGAUUGUAAAGCACUUUAAGUUGGGAGGAAGAGCAGUAAGUUAAUACCUUGCUGUUUUGACGUUACCAACAGAAUAAGCACCGGCUAACUUCGUG
rnacentral:rRNA from 1 species